GACGAACGCUGGCGGCGUGCUUAACACAUGCAAGUCGAACGGAAAGGCCCUGCUUUUGUGGGGUGCUCGAGUGGCGAACGGGUGAGUAACACGUGAGUAACCUGCCCUUGACUUUGGGAUAACUUCAGGAAACUGGGGCUAAUACCGGAUAGGAGCUCCUGCUGCAUGGUGGGGGUUGGAAAGUUUCGGCGGUUGGGGAUGGACUCGCGGCUUAUCAGCUUGUUGGUGGGGUAGUGGCUUACCAAGGCUUUGACGGGUAGCCGGCCUGAGAGGGUGACCGGCCACAUUGGGACUGAGGUGCGGCCCAGACUCCUCCGGGGGGCAGCAGUGGGGAAUUUGGCACAGGGGGCGGAGGCCUGAUGCAGCAACGCCGCGUGCGGGAUGACGGCCUUCGGGUUGUAAACCGCUUUCGCCUGUGACGACGCGUGAGUGACGUUAUUGGGUAAAGAGGCGCCGGCUAACUCCGU
rnacentral:rRNA from 1 species